UAGAUACCCGUCUAUUCACGGCAUAAAACAAAGUGGAAUAUUACGAACAACAGUUUAAAAUUCAAAGAUUUUGGCGGUGUCUUAUAAAACCAGGGGAACCUGUCUCAUAACUCGAUAAUCCACGUAUACUCAACCCUCUUUUGACUACAGCAUGUGUACUGCCGUUGUAAGCACACCUUUAAAAGAAAGUGUGCUACUAUGAGCUCAUAUACAUCAGGUCAAGGUGCAGCUAAUAAGAAGGUGAUGAUGGGUUACAACCCAAAAAUAGACUAUCAACCAAGAAAUAAAAAAUCUUACGAAAGUGGACUUGGCCGUAAUCAAUUUACAAGUUAAAAAAAUGAAUAAAAAUCUAAGACAUGCACACAUCGCCCGUCACUCUACCCUAAAGGGUAGAUAAGUCGU
rnacentral:rRNA from 1 species